rnacentral:lncRNA from 1 species
GAAUCUGCGGCUCGAAAGUCUGGAGAAGCUGAAGGUGAAGUUGGAUUGUAGAGCACUUAUGUAGCUUGUGCGAGCCUCUGCAUUCAACCCACACCACCGAAACAGUUAAAUAAAAUCAGCGGUCUUCAGAAGGACGAAAACCGACCUACGUGAUCAAGUACGCAAUUGCAUAAACAAUUUAUUUUCAUCUAUAAAGAUGAAAGCUGUGGUGGCUAUUCCCGGUUGUCAACUUAACUACAUCUGGAAUGAACUACACUCCAGAAAUAAGGGCACGCUGUGAAAUAGACCUUGAGGCUAGAAAGACACAGGCUUCUGACCCUGAGCUUGACAAGGGGUGAUACACACUUUUAAUCCAGAUCUUGAAGCAUAGUGGCCAUGAAAAACUUAGGCCCAGGCAAGGUAGUACACUCCUUUAAUCAGAGGAGACAGAGGGAUCUCUGAGUUCAAGGCCAGCCUGGGACAGAGCAAGUUCCAAAUCCAGGCCUGGUAGUACACACCUCUACUCUUGGCCAUACCUUCUGCUGGAGACCUACAUAAGGACAUUGGAAGAAGGAAGGCUCACUCUUCUUUGCCUGCCUGCACUUACUGCCAGCACCUCUGUUGGAACCUACUUCUUCAGGAUUCCAGCUUAUACAGAAGACCAGCUGAAACAGGUUCAUGGGGCUGAGCAACUACUAGGUUCUUGGACUUUCUACUCACAGCUGCCCAUUGUUGCAUUAGUUAGACUGCAGACUGUAAGUCAUUCCAAUAAAUUCCCUUAAUAUAUAGAGAGACAUUCCAUAUGUUCUGUGGCUCUAGACAACUCUGAUUAAUCCAAAAGCAAACCUUCUUGAAAGAUACAUAUGCAAUACAUUAUAUAAAUCUGCAAUACAAUAUAAUCUACAUAGGAAUGUAAAAAAGAUAAAUGGGCUAUUGCUAUGAACAGUAUCUGCGAGGGAAAAAUAUGCAUCUCUCAACAUUUGCUGAUACUUGUUCAAAUUCAAUAAUGUGUCGACAAUCUUACUGAAGAUCACAUAUAAAAAAUGAAGACAAUAAAAAGGUUUCCAUGAAAAAGAGUAUAAAAUUUGUAUAUUAAGAUAAUCCCAAGAAGUCUGCUGUCUUUAAGGUGACUGAGACACGGUGAACAAUUUCAGUUAUGUAAGCUACAGGCGGGAUAUGAAAAAGCACACUUAGUUGCUAAAUUGAAAAACAUAAAAUAACCUUUUCCUAGAUAAUUGGCUUGCUUCUCGGGAAGCCCAGAACCAGCAGAACUCCUAGAUGGGAGAACUUUAAUUAUCUACUUUGAACAGCAAUUUUAAAAUCAAAGUGCUGUGUCCUGCACGCUCUGCCGUGGAGUCAGGAGCUUGAAGUGUGCAGGUGUAAGCUGUGUCCCUCUCCUAGCCACAGCCUUUCUCCAUCAUCCACAGAUGCUGAUGUGGCUACAGCUUCUACAGAUCCCACAGUGCCCUGUAUUCUCCUCAAUCGACUACUGUAUUUCACUUAAGUGGGGAAUCCCUAGGCUUUAUUUGAACUAUAUCUCAGUGAUGACUAUGCAUUGUUAAAAGCCAAUUGAACAGAAUUGCUAGUGAUACGCCUUGAAAACAGAGACAGACUGGCUUUUCUACAUGAAAAACAUUAGGGUGUGUAGGACCCCAUGGGAGGUAUUUAGGUUGCAAAAACUGAAAUUUUCACUUUAUUUUUCUCCAUUUUACAAGGAUCUCAUGUCUCCCUAGAUGGUCUCCCACUCACUGUGUGGCAGAGAAUGACCUCAAACUUCUGGUCCUCCUGCUUUCCCCUCCAAAUGCCAGGUUUACGGGCAAACUUCACCACAUCAGGCUUGGGAACUGAAUUCAGGGUCAUAUGUGCUAAGCAAAGCCUGCUACCCACUUAGCUCCAGCUCCAGCCCUAAGAGCUAUUCUGUUGUGAGGGGGUUAAUGUUGGUUAUAAAAGAACUUGGGGAUAUGGGUUCUCACUUGCUCUUGCUCUCACUCUCAUUCUCUCUUGCACACGCCUGUCUUUACUGAACUUCCACCAUCCAGAAUUAUGUGCUAUACAUGCCUACUCCUUAAUCCAUCCUGUCUAUGGUGUAUGUCACAGAGGCCUUAGGUAACCAAGACACGGCAUCAGUGCCAUAACCGCUGGUUGGGAUGUGAGUAAGGUACAAUCUCAUAUUGAUCCUGGUGCUUGUGAGUACUGGUAGCCAGCUUAUGAUCAAGACUUUCAAUAAUGAUUGGCACAAGAGGCGUGCCUAUGGGGACGGGUUUAUGUAUGUGGGAGUUUUGCUUACAUUUAUAUCUGCACAGCACAUGCAUGCAGACCUCAUGGAGCCUCCAUGUGGGUGCAGUGAAUUGAACCUGGAUCCUCUGGAAGAACAACAAAUGCCCCCAAACAUUGAACCACCUCUUCAGCCACAUCAAAUUAAAAAAAAAUAAGAUAUGUUUAAAUGUUGUAUUUUAUUUGUUGCAUAUUUUAUUAUUUUUAAAGAAUUAUUUACAUAUCUUACUGUUAUUCAAUUAUUAUUUAUUUUAAAUAUGAUAUUCAAAAUAUAAGAAAAAAAUAAAAAUAUAAGUUAUCUUGACU